AUUCUAGUACAUUUUGGUCUAGUAUCUGUUCUUAUGAGCUUAAAUUAAUGUCUGACAGGUUCUAUUUGGACCCAGGCUAUUAAACUCAUUUUUGUAAUUUGGCGGAGUGUUUAAGCCCAGCUGCUUCACUUCCGCUGCGGGUCGGCCCGUUAUUGCACUAUCUCCUGGAUCGGCCCACGGGCU